UGGCACCUGCCGCCCCAAGUCCCCGCAUGGGAGUGGGACAGUUGAGUGGGGGGAGGAAGCACAGGCCGCCCCGCCUGGGACCCCACGGGGUUUGGAGGCAGCCUCAGACAUGCCUGUGUUGUCUUUUUGCUUUGAAGUUGGCUGGACUGGGGCGGAUAGAGAGAGGCCAGCCGUGUGGCGCCUGCGGUGACCAGUGCCCCGGGUUCGCCCUGCACAAAUGGAGAAGUGGAGCCAGUAGAAAGACAAUGCUUCCCCAGCUACAGAUGAGGACAUGCAGAUGAGGCUUCUGGGCCAGGUCUGCAGACAGCAGGACCCGUCUUCUUCCAGCGAGCUUCUGUACCAAGCAGCUCUUUGCCCACAUUUGACCCUAAGCGCGGGCGUAAUUCGUCCCUUUGCUGAGAUUCAGAAAGCCAGCGUCCUCCUCGUCAUGGUCAGGCUGAGCUGGGUUGGAAAGGUCGUGAGAUGCCUUUGCAGCCCAGCCAUGCCAGGCCUACCCCUGCAUCACCCAGCUCAGUCACGGUGCUCUGGAAAUCUGUGUGCCUCACCUGCCAACUCACACUGAAGCUCGAAGCUAGGCCUGAGAAAGACAAUGCAGCUAAUAUAACCGAUCAAGACAGUAUCAACUGACAAGAUGCCAUUAUUAACUUCUUAUAUGGCUAACAUAUUGCAGUGAUAUCUUGGGUCUACUAGUUUAAAAUAAAUAUUUUGCCAAAAUUCAUUUCACCUGUUUUUAGUUUCAGUGUGGCUAGCAGACAUUGUGUUUUUCUGUGUGUCUUGCAUUAUAUUUCUGUUGGACUGCAGUCCUGCUGAAAUAAUCCCUCUCAGCUGUUCCGUUCGUGAGGCAAGAGGUUGAUGUGUUUUGUUUUUAACUGUUACAGGAACAAGCAGGAUUUAUCCAAAAAAAGAAAAAAAUGGGAUAAUUUUUGGAGGCGAAGCCCUUUCAGGGACAGACAGUUGUCUCCGCCGCUCUGUGGGCUCUUGAGUUCUCUGGGCAAAGCACGACUUCACACUGGGAGCCCUGCCUGUCCACCGGAGUAGCUACUUUCCAACGCCACCUUCGGCUCCAGCUGCGCUAGUGCUGAGGUGCUGGUGUGGGACCUGGGCACCGAUAGCCAGCUGCGUUUGUAGGGUUGGGGCCCCGCUGCCUCUUCCUCCAUGCUGGGAGGG
rnacentral:lncRNA from 1 species